ensembl:lncRNA
AGGUGGGAGGAGAAGGGGACGACAGAGGAUGAGAUGGUUGGAUGGUUGGCAUCACUGACUCAAUGGACAUGAGUUUGAGCAAGCUCCAGGAGCUGGUGAUGGACAGGGAAGUUUGGAGUACUGCAGUCCAUGGGGUCACAAAGAAUCAAACAUGACUGAGCAUCUGAACUCACUGACUGACGAAAUAAAAUUCUGUUGUUUGUAGUGGUGUGGAUGGAUCUGGAGACUAUCAUACAAAGUAAGUCAGAGAAAAAUAUUAAUGCAUACCUGUGGAGUCUAGAGAAAUGGUAUGCUGCUAAGUCACUUCAGUUGUGUCUGACUCUGUGCAGCCCCACAGACGGCAGCCCACCAGGCUCCCCCGUCCCUGGGGUUCUCCAGGCAAGAACACUGGAGUGGGUUGCCAUUUCCUUCUCCAAUGCAUGAAACUGAAAAGUGAAAGUGAAGUCGCUCAGUCAUGUCCCACCCUUAGCGACCCCAUGGACUGCAGCCUACCAGGCUCCUCCAUCCAUGGGAUUUUCCAGGCAAGAGUACUGGAGUGGGGUGCCAUUGCCUUCUCCAAGAGAAACGGUAUAGAUGAUGAUAUUUGCAAAACAGAAAUAGACAGACAUAGAGAAUAAAUGUAUGGAAACCCAGUGGGAAAGGUGGAAUGAAUUGGGAGAUUGGAUUGACAUACACUAUAUUAUGUAUAAAAUAGAUAACCUAGACAACCCACUGUAUAGCACAGGGAACUCUACUCAAUGCUCUGUGGUGACCUAAAUGGGAAGGAAAUCUUAAGAAGAGUGGGUAUGUGUAUAUAUAAGGCUGAUUCACUUCAUUGUACAGUAGAAACUGACAUAGCAGUGUAUAGCAACUAUAAUUUAAAAAUAAAAUGCAAGGGGAAUAAAGAUACUAGAGAUCUGAGGGUCACUUCAAGAGCCAAGGCAGGUUAUAUAUCAAUGUGAGGUGUUGCAUACUUUCAUACCUAACGUUUUCUCUUAAAUCUGAAGAUGUUAUAUUCUCCCAUUUUACAAGACCCAGAGUGUAUGUUGGUAGAAUGUUGUGUACAACUUGUACAAGCACAAGUUGUGGUGCUUGUCCUUUCAGAAAGACUUAAUGAUGUUUGGGACAUAUCCCCAAAGGGCAAGGGCCAGGAGAGGCUGCUGUGCAGUUUCAGACUAGAAAUAUCAGGACUAUUUUGCCUUGAAAUAUUAGGUUGAGAAAAAGUGGGCACAGAAUCUGAAGGGAUGUGAAGAGUGUAAACACAGUUUUAGUCAUCAAAACCCAACAUCCUUCUUUCAGAUUCCUCUUAAAGCUUGAAAGAAGGCACAUUUAAGGCAAAUAAAAUAUUACUUUUCUUUGGCAUGACACUUUGUGUUUCCAAAUGUUUAUUUUACUUUUUUUCUCAGAUAAUCCACAUACCAUCUGUGUGAUGAAUAUAAUUAUUGCUGUUCUAUAAGUUGAGAAUAUCAAGGCUCUGAGAGGUGGUUUGCCUGAAUCUCUUCAGGGAAUGAACCAUGUAUGAGUCAUCCUGUUAGUGUCUUUUCUAAAGUUUUUUUAAAAAUGGAAAGAAAAAAUGAUCAUCAGUAAAUGUGUAUAAAAUUGAAAAACAGAGUUGAGGUUAUGAGACAUGGAUGAUAGAGAAGGUCUAAUAUAUUUCCAAUUGAUGUCCCAAAAGAAAGGAAGAGAAACAGUGGGAUCAAGAUCAUGGCUGAGAAUUUUUGAAAACUGAUGAAUGAUAAUCAUCCUACAGAUUCGGGGGGGAUAAAUUGCAAAGAGAAAUAAGAAUUCACAUCUUGACAUAUCAGGGUAAGACUUUAAAACAACAAAGAUAAAAAGAGGAAACUAUUAAUGAGAAAAUGGAUAUUUUCAAAGGUUUGACAGUUAAGCUGACAAUGAUCCCUCAUCAGCAAUGAUGCAAGCCAAAAAUUGACACUUCAAUGUAGAAAGAUAACCUAGAACUCGGUACCAAGCGGAAAUCUCUUUCAAGUAUGAGAGAAUAAUAUAUUUUCACUUGAAGACAGAAAUUUGUCCCCAGUAAACCUUCACUAGAAGAUGAUAUAAAUCAGGAUAGAAGGAAGAAAUCCCAUAUGGGAGAGCUCAGAUGUGAAAUAAAGGCCACAGAAAGUGACUGAUUAGCAGAUACUGUCUAAUAAAUUAACAACUCAAUGUAAAAUUUUUAAAAAGGCAUAAAGAAUGAAAAACCACAUGAGGGACUUUCCUAGUGGUCCAGGGGUUAAGAAUCCACCUUGCCAUGCAGGCAACAUGGGUUUGAUCCCUGGUUAGGAAACUAAGAUACUGUGUGGCAGAGAACAACUAAGCCCACAUACCACAAUUAGAGCGUCUGUACACGGCAGUGAGAGAUCCCGUGUGCUGCGACUAGAGAGAGUGUACACUGCAGUGAAAGACCUUGUGUGUUACAAACUAGAGGGUCCAUACACGGCCGUGAAAGAUUCUAUGAGCUGCAGCUAGAGAGUCCAUACACGGCAGUGAGAUCCUGUGUGCUGCAACUAGAGAGUGCGUACACUGCAGUGAAAGAUCCUAUGAGCUGCAAGUAAGACCCAAAGCAGCCAAAUAAAAAAUUGGUAGUGACAAAUGAGUG